UGCAGGGCUGCCCGACUUUUUCAACACCCACAGCCAUGAGCAGAUGUACAGUAUUGGUGCUGAUGUUCAUGUUAUGCCUUGCUUGUUGGCACUGCCACGGUGCUAAUGCGAAUCCUGCAGGAGUCCGCUGUAGUGCACAUACCGCCAGCUGCAUGCAAACGAGUGGUCGAUCUCCUAAUUGCAAGCAUCCCUGUACCUGUGACCGGGUCGUCAAUGGUCCU